GAUGAACGCUAGCGGCAGGCUUAAUACAUGCAAGUCGAGGGGCAGCAGCUUUAUAGCAAUAUAGAGGCUGGCGACCGGCAAACGGGUGCGGAACACGUACACAACCUUCCUUGAAUAGGGGGAUAGCCCAUAGAAAUGUGGAUUAAUACCCCGUAAUAUAGCGGUGUGGCAUCACACUGUUAUUACAGUUUCGACGAUUCGAGAUGGGUGUGCGGCUGAUUAGGUAGUUGGCGGGGUAAAGGCCCACCAAGCCUUCGAUCAGUAGCUGAUGUGAGAGCAUGAUCAGCCACACGGGCACUGAGACACGGGCCCGACUCCUACGGGAGGCAGCAGUAAGGAAUAUUGGUCAAUGGACGCAAGUCUGAACCAGCCAUGCCGCGUGAAGGAUGAAGGUCCUCUGGAUUGUAAACUUCUUUUAUAGGGGGCGAAAAAAGGUCUUUCUAGAUCACUUGACAGUACCCUAUGAAUAAGCACCGGCUAACUCC
rnacentral:rRNA from 1 species